GUUUUAAUAAUUUAAAUAAAAUAUUGGUCUUGUAAACCAAAAAUAAGAUAAACCUUUUAAAACU
rnacentral:tRNA from 1 species